AUUAUUUCAAUAUUUUGACUUAUCUAGUGCUGUAAGAGCAAGGGUAGACUGAUUGCUUUUUUCCUUUGGCUUUUUUUCUUUUUCCUAAUAGUUUGUCUCUAACACUUGUGAGCCGCGUUCUGCAGAGCAGCUGGGUGCUGCACAGCCGUGCGGCAGUGGGAGCUGUGGGCUGCCCUGCCUGGCGCCUGGCCAUCGCCUGCCCCGUGCUGCUGCCUGCCCGGGGCCGGGGCAGCCCGGGGCCUGGGCAGCCCGGGGCCUGGGCAGCCCGGGGCCAUUAGCUCAGAUGCCUUUGAGCAGGAAUGGCAGCUGCCAGGGGCACCACGCUGUGAGGGCGGCUGCUCUUGGAAGCUGGCACUUAUAGCCUCACACAUAAGGAGUCAACUUGCAUUUCUGUGUCCCUAAGUUUUUAUUACGCUGAAGGGAUGAUAAAAGCCUAUCAUCUCUUGGAAAUGAAAUGACACAGGAAGUACGAAGCAAAGCAUUAACAGUGAAGGUAUCAUCUGCUCCAGAUUUGACAAGGUGGCAAAAUGCUGCAAUGGAAGAGAAUCUCAAGAUAAAAUAUUUAGGCAGAGCAGAGAUCAGUGGCUUCCUCUCUAGCACCAGCUAUGUUGAGACCGCGCCAGGUAGUGGAGAAAAGGUGUCUUGUAUCACAGCCCUCCGAUGCUCACAGGACUAUCAGGAGGGAGUUCUGAUUUGUUCGAGGAGGCUGGUGCUGCUGACCCUUAACAAUAUCAGUUGAGUUGCCUGAUCUUGCUGAUUAAGUAACUCCAGUGGUCAUCUCCAAAGGGUGGUAUUAUCUCUUGUGCCAGAAAGGACUUCAGCUACUGAAAAGUUUGUACAGGGAAGUUUUGUUUUCUUGUCACACGCAAAAAAGUGAACUGUUCUCACUUAGAAGAAAGCAAUAAUGACAAACAGAUGCUCAGCAACAGCCCAAUAAAUUAUCCAUUUUAUAAUUUCCA
rnacentral:lncRNA from 1 species